UGAAAAUCGACUAAAUCUGCC
rnacentral:piRNA from 1 species